GACGAACGCUGGCGGCGUGCCUAAUACAUGCAAGUAGAACGCUGAAGGAGGAGCUUGCUCUUCUGGAUGAGUUGCGAACGGGUGAGUAACGCGUAGGUAACCUGCCUGGUAGCGGGGGAUAACUAUUGGAAACGAUAGCUAAUACCGCAUAAGAGUAGAUGUUGCAUGACAUUUGCUUAAAAGGUGCAAUUGCAUCACUACCAGAUGGACCUGCGUUGUAUUAGCUAGUUGGUGGGGUAACGGCUCACCAAGGCGACGAUACAUAGCCGACCUGAGAGGGUGAUCGGCCACACUGGGACUGAGACACGGCCCAGACUCCUACGGGAGGCAGCAGUAGGGAAUCUUCGGCAAUGGACGGAAGUCUGACCGAGCAACGCCGCGUGAGUGAAGAAGGUUGUCGGAUCGUAAAGCUCGGUUGUAAGAGAAGAACGAGUGUGAGAGUGGAAAGUUCACACUGUGACGGUAUCUUACCAGAAAGGGACGGCUAACUACGUG
rnacentral:rRNA from 1 species